rnacentral:ncRNA from 1 species
ACUAAGGUUGGUAUAGCCUUUCAUUAGUUGCUAGCAAAACUACACAUGCAAGUAUCCGCCCGCCAGUGAGAAUGCCCUUUAACCCAUGCAUAGGUAUAAAUGGAGCAGGUAUCAAGCACACUAUAUUGUAGCUCAUAACACCUUGCUCAGCCACACCCCCACGGGAAACAGCAGUGACAAAAAUUAAGCCAUGAACGAAAGUUUGACUAAGUUAUGCUAUCCAGGGCUGGUAAAUUUCGUGCCAGCCACCGCGGCCAUACGAUUAGCCCUAAUUAAUGAAUUAACGGCGUAAAACGUGUUUAAGAGUACAUAAAUAAUAAAGUUAAACCGUAGCUAAGCUGUAAAAAGCCCCAGCUACUGUAAAACCUCCUACGAAAGUAACUUUAAUCUGUCUGAAGACACGACAGCUAAGGCCCAAACUGGGAUUAGAUACCCCACUAUGCUUAGCCCUAAACUAAAAAAAUCUAAUACAACAAGAUUUUUCGCCAGAGUACUACUAGCCACAGCCUAAAACUCAAAGGACUUGGCGGUGCUUUAUAUCCUUCUAGAGGAGCCUGUUCUAUAAUCGAUACACCCCGAUAAACCUCACCAACUCUUGCCAACUCAGCCUAUAUACCGCCAUCUUCAGCAAACCCUAAAAAGGAGCUAAAGUAAGCCCAAUAAUAACACAUAAAAACGUUAGGUCAAGGUGUAGCCCAUGAGUUGGAAAGAAAUGGGCUACAUUUCCUAAAAUAGGCCACACUUACUUACACGAGAGUCAUUGUGAAACCAGUGACCAAAGGUGGAUUUAGCAGUAAAUUAAGAAUAGAGCGCUUAAUUGAAUAAGGCCAUGAAGCACGCACACACCGCCCGUCACCCUCCUCAAACACCCUAACGGCAACCUUUAUACUUUAUAAAUUUGCCCUAUUAGCUAGAGGAGAUAAGUCGUAACAUGGUAAGCGUACUGGAAAGUGCGCUUGGACAAUU